GUGCUCACUUUGGUAGCAUAUUUACUAAUAUUGGAAUAACACCGAGAAGAUUAGCAAUGACCCUGUGUAAGGAUACGACAUAAUUCGUAAAGCAUUCCAUAUUUUU